CACAUUUGAUUUUCGAAAGAUAAAGAUAAUAGGCAAUGCUGAAAAUGAAAACCUUAAUUUCUUGAUUGAUGUACAAAUUAUAUAAUGAAAAGUAAUUUCUACAAUUCCAUUGUGAAUACCCAGUUCUCCACUAGCCCAAAAUAAUACAACAUCCGCAUCAAAGUAGAGGGAGAAUGAGAGAUGAUUCAUGUUUCUUGGGGCAUCCGAUCAAAAUCUUUUUUAUCACUGCGUUGAAUAACAAAAUAGGCAAGAAGGUUUAGAUGGUGAAGCUUUGGGAUUGUCACUACAAACUCGUGGAUUUGCAUUUAAGUUAUGCACUGGCGUUCUAUUAACAUUAAAAUUAUAUGGGACUUCUGGUGAAAGGAAAAGGAAAAAGAUCAGAUGCGACUUUGGUGAAAGUGGGUUGUCGAAUUGAAAAAAGAUAUGGUCGGGCCGGGUCGGGCAUGGGUGGUUGGUGGACGGACAGAGAGACAAAAUGCAGAGAAGUGAGGAGAGGGAAGCCAGAAUAAUCGAAUCAUAACUGAAUCGGGUUGAAUACUCUUUUUCUAGGUUUUUCUUUUUUCUGUUUGUUUGCUGGGAACAGGACUGAAGAAGGAAAUGAGGUUUUUUUUUUUUUUUUUUCUUUUUUUUUUUUUUUUUUUCAUUUUGCACACUUCUUUAUGAUCUUUUAGAAUGUAAAAGCAACAAUAGUAACCACCAACUCUAGUUAGGUUAAUUUAUUAUUUUUUUAGUAACCUGUUUAGUAGGUAGUAGUAGGUUACAUCUUUUAACGGUUAAGAUUAGUAAAUGAAGAUCCAAUGGUUAUAAUCCUUUAGGUAUAAAAAGAUACCAGUGCAUACUAGAAAGAGC
rnacentral:lncRNA from 1 species